rnacentral:lncRNA from 1 species
GUGUCCUUAUAAAUACGCCCAAGGGACCUGGUUUAUCCCUUUCACCAUGUGAAGACAGAGCAAGAAGGUGGCCACUGCAACUCAGGAAAGGCAGUCUCAUCAGACCUUGAAUCUGCAGGUGCCUUGAUCUUGGACUUCUCAGCCUCUCGAACCACAAGAAAUUAAUUUCUGUAGUUUAUAAGCUCCCCAGUUUAAUUAUGAGCCACUGAUUCUCCUUUCUGCCUAAGUGAGUCUGGGUUACUUUUCUCUUGCUUAAAAACAAAGUCAGUCUUGACUAAGAAAGAGUUACGUCUCACAAUCAGGGUUGGAAUAGGAAUCACCUUACCUUUCCCAGCCUCACUUCUGGCUGUGAGAGCUCAUGGAGCAGCAUUGAGAUUAAUGGCACAUGUGCAGAGGCCCUGGUGUGGGGCUUUUGUGAAUGUUCUUUAAGGUGAGUCGACCCAACUGGCGCACACCCCCUUGCACUGUAAAAUCAGGUAGCACUGAAUACAAAUUUUAGAUCUGCCACUUACUGGUGGUGAAAGUUCAGGUACGUUACUUAAAUUUUCUAAAAUUCUGUUUUCCCAUCUUCAGAACUCAACAGCAGAACUCACAGCAUGGAAUUUAAGGAUUACAGGCCAAAGGUUUUGCAAAAUGUGCCCA